UAAUUAGAUCAACUGCGAAUGAUCUUCCAUAGUAUAAAUAUUUCAUCGUCACAUUUCAACACACCCUGUUUUAUUUGUUAUGAUCGUAGAAGCGUGGUCGAACUCGGCAUUUAACUGUUCAUGACUUAUUUCGAUUUCCGAAAAGCUAAAAUAGCUACAUAUAUAUAAUAAUAAUAUCCAAGUGUGUCGCCGUUGGUUGCAAGCAUUGACAAACAUGGAAUCUACUGACAACAUGGAUGGAAUCCUUUCAUCUUGUAUUUCAAAACCACCUCCUUUACAUAUCAAGUAUGCAAAAUAUGAAGAGCGUCUAAAAUCAUUUCUUACUUGGCCCCAAACUGGCAAACCUGAUAAAAAGAAUUUGGCUGAAGCUGGUUUCUUCUUUCAAGGCCCUGAGGACCGUACCAUAUGCUUUCAUUGUGAUGGAGGAUUGAAAAAUUGGACUGCAAAUGAUAAUCCAAUAAUGGAACAUUUCAAUACUUACCCAGAUUGUGCAUUUAUAAAGAAGAAGUUAAAGAAAAGCUAAACACUAAAAAGCCUGUGGUAUGAUGUAAAAUUAUCUCAAGAAAUCCACAUCUGUCUGUGACUUCAUAUAUAUUUUGCUGCUACUAAACAUUGAAAAGAAAACCAAACCAUGCUGGUACUUAUAUGAUAAAGCUAUUUUGCCAUAUUUGAAAUUAUAAAUAAUUAUUCCUACACAGACAGUUAAACGAACUUUUUAACUUAGAAACAUCCAUAGUGACAAACUGACCUUUGCAAAGCCUUAUAAUAUUUCAAACUGUAUGCAAUAGUUGGUUAUAACAAACAGGCAGAACAUUUUGUGACACAUGUAACAACAUUGGAAAGAAAAAUUGCACAUUUUGAGUGGUUUGUUAUCAAGAAGAAGAGCUGUUUGAACUAUUUCAGAAAUGUUUCAUCAAUGUUUUUGUAAUACCAACAUAUUUAUUUGUACUACAUGCAUGUUUAUUGUUACAGCAUUAUAAUAUCUAACAUAUUUUAAAUAAACUAUAUAUUAUAUAUUAAACAGGCAUUUGACUCACA